rnacentral:rRNA from 1 species
GUAGGUGAAAGCUUACAUCUCUUCGGAGCAUUUUACGAGGUGCUGCAUGGUUGUCGUCAGCUCGUGCCGUGAGGUGCGGGUUAAGUCCCAUAACGAGCGCAACCCUACCUUUAGUUGCCAUCAGGUUAAGCUGGGGACUCUAAAGGAACUGCCUACGCAAGUAGUGAGGAAGGCGGGGAUGACGUCAAAUCAGCACGGCCCUUACGUCCAGGGCUACACACGCGCUACAAUGGCCGAUACAGAGGGCAGCUACCUGGUGACAGGAUGCAAAUCUCCAAAGUCGGUCUCAGUUCGGAUCGGAGUCUGCAACCCGACUCCGUGAAGUUGGAUUCGCUAGUAAUCGCGCAUCAGCCAUGGCGCGGUGAAUACGUUCCCGGGCCUU